CAGUCGCCGCGGGAAUACGUAGGGGGCAAGCGUUGUCCGGAUUUACUGGGCGUAAAGAGCUCGUAGGUGGUUUGGCAAGUCGGGUGUGAAACCUCCAGGCUCAACCUGGAGUCGCCACUCGAAACUGCCAUGACUAGAGGCCGGUAGGGGACCAUGGAAUUCCUGGUGUAGCGGUGAAAUGCGCAGAUAUCAGGAGGAACACCAGUAGCGAAGGCGGUGGUCUGGGCCGGUUCUGACACUGAGGAGCGAAAGCGUGGGGAGCGAACAGGAUUAGAUACCCCCGUAGUCCCUGUCUCUUAUA
rnacentral:rRNA from 1 species